rnacentral:rRNA from 1 species
UACGGAGGGUGCAAGCGUUAUCCGGAUUCACUGGGUUUAAAGGGUGCGUAGGUGGGUUGGUAAGUCAGUGGUGAAAUCUCCAGGCUUAACUUGGAAACUGCCAUUGAUACUAUCAGUCUUGAAUAUUGUGGAGGUCAGCGGAAUAUGUCAUGUAGCGGUGAAAUGCUUAGAUAUGACAUAGAACACCAAUUGCGAAGGCAGCUGGCUACACAUAUAUUGACACUGAGGCACGAAAGCGUGGGGAUCAAACAGG